rnacentral:rRNA from 1 species
UGUGUAGGCGGGGCUGUAAGUCAGAGGUGAAAUCCCACGGCUCAACCGUGGAACUGCCUUUGAUACUGCAGUUCUUGAGUCUCGGAGGGGUUGCUGGAAUUCGUGGUGUAGCGGUGAAAUGCGUAGAUAUCACGAGGAACACCAGAGGCGUAGGCGGGCAACUGGACGAGUACUGACGCUGAGGCACGAAAGCGUGGGGAGCAAACA